AUUGAACGCUGGCGGCAUGCCUUACACAUGCAAGUCGAACGGCCUUCUGGGAGCAAUCCUGGUGGCGAGUGGCGAACGGGUGAGUAAUGUAUCGGAACGUGCCCAGUCGUGGGGGAUAACGCAGCGAAAGCUGUGCUAAUACCGCAUACGAUCUAUGGAUGAAAGCGGAGGAUCGCAAGACCUCGCGCGAUUGGAGCGGCCGAUAUCAGAUUAGCUAGUUGGUGGGGUAAAGGCUCACCAAGGCGACGAUCUGUAGCUGGUCUGAGAGGACGACCAGCCAAACUGGAACUGAGACACGGUCCAGACUCCUACGGGAGGCAGCAGUGGGGAAUUUUGGACAAUGGGCGCAAGCCUGAUCCAGCAAUGCCGCGUGCAGGAUGAAGGCCUUCGGGUUGUAAACUGCUUUUGUACGGAGCGAAAAGGCUUUCUCUAAUACAGGAGGCUCAUGACGGUACCGUAAGAAUAAGCACCGGCUAACUACGUGCCAGCCGCCGCCGUAAGAC
rnacentral:rRNA from 1 species